rnacentral:rRNA from 1 species
ACGCUCGACACCUACGGGAGGCAGCAGUGAGGAAUAUUGGUCAAUGGACGCAAGUCUGAACCAGCCAUGCCGCGUGCAGGAUGACGGCUCUAUGAGUUGUAAACUGCUUUGUACGAGGGUAAACGCAGAUACGUGUAUCUGUCUGAAAGUAUCGUACGAAUAAGGAUCGGCUAACUCCGUACCAGCAGCCGCGGUAAUCUGAGCGGGCUGGCAAGGC